rnacentral:tRNA from 1 species
GGGAGGUUAGCUCAGGGGUAGAGCGCUGCAUUCACACUGCAGAGGUCGCUGGUUCGAAACCAGCACUUCCCACCA